rnacentral:lncRNA from 1 species
GAAAAACAACAAAGAAAUCCCACAUAUGAAUAAGUGAUGUAUUCCUAGAACACAGACCGCCACCUUUGAGAUCAAUUCAUUAUCCAAGCCACACUCCCCCAGUGGAAUUCCUGCUGUGCAAAAGGAUUUUCAAGGAAAGCUCUCUACAGCCUCAGCAAACUUCAUCAUUUUAGAAAUGAUGCUUGCAUCUCAGUGCUUUGCAAAUGAAAGAAAACAAAGAAAACAGAAAAAAAAAAAAAGUCUCAGACGCCUUGUUUACCUGGUGCAUUAUAGUUAAUUUUGCCCUUUUUCCUGCAUUUUGAGUUGGGCAAUCAGUUUCUUGGGAAGUUUCAUGGGUUUUACAAAAUGUGAAACCAUGUGUUGCUAUUUAUAACUGCCCUGGGUUGUGAAAGCAAAUGAUUUAUCAUAGAGCACAGAGGCUGAUGUAAACUGUUUGCAGAUGAUAGUGUUGGGUAGAGGGAUAGUGGAAAUGUCCUUUCUACUGCAACAUGUAGAUUUUUAGACUUGCAAAAGAUGCAGAGCUUUGUGACAGGACACAGUAAAAGCAUGGAAUGAAAAGAGCUGGGUGUGCAAUGGACACUAUGAGUCACAUCACCUGUUAGCAGUUACAGCACUUUACUUUACCAUUCCCAUAAUGAUGCUCCUAGAUGGGAGCAGAAGACCGGUUUCUCGUUGUCCUUGUGGCAGCAGUAGAUGUUUUGGGAAGGUGCACAAUAACAGGACAUACGUGGAGGGGGAUCCUUUCCCAGGCAGUGAAUCAGAGAAAAAAAAAGCUUGCCAGAGAGGAAUGGAAGAUGAUUUGGAAGCAUGCUAAUGAGCCGGGGGAAAGAUGGAAUUCCCACAUUUUUACUCGUAACUACCUUCACCAGCUGCGAAGACAAAGCCAAGCCAUGGCUUCCUCUCUGCACCCUACCAGCCAUGCUGCGCCUAUUCACUGUCAGGGAACAGACGUGGGAGUGCAGCAGCUCUUUCAGUAUCAUCGUGGAUUUUGGAUUUUGGGUAGUAGUGCUCCAGGUUACCAGACACCUGCCUGUUGAAAGUGAGAAGACCUGCGUUUGGCAGGCUGUAUCAGUUUCAUAACAUCAGACCAUUCAGAGCUUAGCAGGACAGAUAAGAACUCAGAUGAAGUUUCCAUACAUCACCACACAAUGGGGAGGCAAGCUUAGUCAUGAGCAUUCUUCCAGUGUUUUUUCCUUCCUUCCAUACACCGAGAAAAAUAGAUAUUUUCUCUCAAAAUUGCUAAGGAAUGAUUUAUCUAGUAGCUCAUCGUAGUCCUACAGCCUUGAACAUGUGCCUGUCUGCUCCAGUCUCUGCAUAUCGCAAUUACCCGGUGUCUGCUCAUAUUGUCUUAAGUCAAGGGAAGCCUUCAUUGAAGACAGUAAGUGCUCACUGAAGACAUUAACUGCUGCUAUCUGCUUUGGGCACCCAGAUUCCCAAAAGUGAUAUUCCUGUGUGUUGUCUGGGCUUGAGCUGCCUUGAGGAUGCUAUUGAACCUCCAUUGGGCUUUUAUCAGAAAAUAGCUACUUACCCUCUGAACUGCAACACCCCCGAAAGGCAAUGAAGGAACUGCAAAGUGGGAUUGAUGUGUUUGUUGACAGUCAAUAAUGACAACAUUUUGAACUGAGUUUAAUUAUGGCAAUUUUUGUGCAGGAAAGGUGCAGGUUGUGUUCACCAAGUCUAGUGGUUUUAUUUCGACACACUGCAGCACUGAAACAUGCUAAUGUUCCAUUGUCAAGCAGCCGGUAAAAAAAUAAAUAAAAAAAAAAAAGCUGAUAAUUUACA